rnacentral:rRNA from 1 species
UACGAGGGGGGCGAGCGUUGUUCGGAAUUAUUGGGCGUAAAGAGCUUGUAGGCGGUUUGUCGCGUCUGCUGUGAAAAUCCGGGGCUCAACCCCGGACUUGCAGUGGGUACGGGCAGACUAGAGUGUGGUAGGGGAGACUGGAAUUCCUGGUGUAGCGGUGAAAUGCGCAGAUAUCAGGAGGAACACCGAUGGCGAAGGCGGGUCUCUGGGCCGAUACUGACGCUGAGGAGCGAAAGCGUGGGGAGCGAACAGG